UUCCAUCCCGAGGCCAAGAUCUGCGCGCGCACCGCCGAGCUCCUAAGCCUGAGCGCCUCUCGGUUCCGAAGCCGGCUGCCCCUCUCCGACCCCGAUAUCUCAUCCUUCCUCACCCGAAAGUUCCACCUGAAGCCUAACUGGGUUCCAUCCUCCUGCAGUCUGGGCGUCGCGGGGAGUCAGGGGUUAAAGACCGUGGCCCGGGGGGGGGGGCCCCUUCCCCCUCCCCCUCCCCAGCCCCCUCUUCUCCUCUCGGCGCCGCGCCUGGAGCGUCCGUCCCAGAGCCGACACGAGAGAGGAGGGGGAAAAGUGGGCCUGGUUCUCGGGUGGCCAAUCCACCAAGCCGGUGGUGCCACAGAGGAGGCGCCAGCGCGAGGCCAGCGUCAGGCCGGGGCUGCCUGCUUCCCGCGGCAAAGUACAAAUGCGCCCGAGCGCGGCGCCUGGCGCCCUUGGCGUGCACAGCCGGCCCGCGCGCAGCCAGCCCCCGCGGCCGCCGCGCAGUCGCCGCCGCCGGUACCGCCGCCCAGCCGGGCCCCAGGACCCCGCGGCCCGACCCCGAGCCCAGUGAGCAGGGGGCGCCGGCCGCUCCUAGCCCGCGCGCCCGGAACAGGCGGCUGGUUCUGCGCGCCUCGCCCGGCGCUGCGCGCUCUGCAGACCCCUGUCCUCUCCCGUCUUUCUUCUCCUCCCCUCUCUCACUUUCUCCUUUGCUUUUAUUGCUUUUCCCUCUUGCUGUACCUUCCUCCAUCUCUCCCUCUCCUUCCUUUCUCCUUUUUCUCUUUCCACCUUCCUCUUAUUCCCACCUUGGACAUCCCUUUCUGUCAUCACCACCUUCUUCUCGACCCCUCUCUGACUCUCCACUGUAGCGGCAGCCCUCCCUGGGUGUGUGGAUUGCUUUGUGGCCCCUGUGCCUCAGUGUCCCCCUCAUCUCACUUUCUCCCCACUCCCCUCCCGGCUCAGCGCCUGGCGGCCUGGCCCUGGGGGAAAGAAGGAUGGUUCCCGAGGUAA
rnacentral:lncRNA from 1 species